UCAAGUAUGGCACGGACGCCGCCUGGUGGAUGGCUUGGCUCGGGCGCCGACGAAGGGCGCGGCAAGCGGCGAUAUGCCCCGGGUAGGCGCAUGCAGCCGUUGAUCCGGGGAUUCCCGAAUGGGACCUCCUGCUACGGGUUAAUAGCCCGUAGCGCUCGGGAAAGUAGCUGAUUCUCGUGAAGCUACGAGUACCGAGUGGGAACCCCCCGAACGGAAACAUCUUAGUAGGGGGAGGAAGAGAAACCAAUCGGGAUCCCCUUAGUAGGGGCGACCGAAAGGGGGAGAGUCCAAACCAAACCUCUCGACGAAGAGUCGAGAGGGAUGUGGUGUUAUUGGGGCUCGGUGACACCCCUAACCCGUGAAGGCGAAGUGGCCUGGAAAGGCCCGCCGUAGAGGGUGAUAGCCCCGUAGCCGUAAGCGGGUGGGGUCAUGAUCCGAGUUCCAGAGUACCACGGCUUGGUUUUGCCGUGGGAAGUUGGGAGGCACCGACUUCCAAGACUAAAUACGUCCCGAGACCGAUAGCGCACUAGUACCGUGAGGGAAAGCUGAAAAGCACCCCGAGAGGGGGGUGAAAAGAGCCUGAAACCAGGCGGCUACAGGAGGCUCGGCCGUUAAGGCCUCCUGCCAAAGGAAAGCUCCGGCGACGGGCGAGUACGAGGCGGGAGGAUCCGCGGUCGAGCCUUCCGUCUAGAAACACGGGCCGGGGAGUUUGCAACUGUGGCGAGUCUAAGGGGGCUAAACCCCGAAGGCGUAGGGAAACCGACUUGCCCGCAGCCAGUAUCCCUGCCUUGCAUGAAGAUGUGAUUCAAUGAACAUCUUCAUGCAAGGUAAAUACUGGCGAGGGGCGAGGUCCGUCGAGGGCCUGGAGCCACAGUUGCAAGACCAGAAACCGGGCGAUCUAGGCCUGGGCAGGGUGAAGCGGGGCGAAAGCCCCGUGGAGGCCCGCAAGGGUUCUGACGUGCAAAUCGUUCCCCUGACCUGGGCCUAGGGGCAAAAGACCAAUCUAGCCCGGUGAUAGCUGGUUCCCCCCGAAGUGGGUCGCAGCCCAGCCCGCCCGGAGGUGGCUGGCGGGGUAGGGCACUGAUUGGGGGACCAAGGGCCGAAAGGCCCAGUCUCCCUUUCAAACCCCGAAUCCGCCAGCGCCGUAGAUGGGCGGAGUCGGGUGUGGGGGGUAAGCUCCCACGCCGAAAGGGGAACAACCCAAACCGGGGUUAAGGCCCCUAAGUGCCGGCUAAGUGUUAACGGCAAAGGGCGUCCUCGGCCUGAGACAGCGGGGAGGUAGGCUUAGAAGCAGUUAACCUUUAAACAACGCGUAACAGCGGACCCGCCGAGGCCGAGGGCCCCGAAAAUUGACGGGGCUUAAGCCGGCCGCCGAGACCCCGGGGGACCCCUUGUGGGGGUCAUCCGGUAGGGGGGCGUCCCAAGUGGGCAGAAGCCGGGCCGUGAGGUCCGGUGGACCACUUGGGAUUGCUGAUCCCGGCGGUAGUAGCAGCCUAGCCGGGUGGGAAUCCCGGCCGCCGCAAGGGCCAGGGUUCCUCAGCAACGCGUCCUCGGCUGAGGGUUAGCCGGUCCUAAGGCGGGCCCUAAGUCGGUCCCGCCGAAAGGGAAGCCGGUUAAUAUUCCGGCGCCGUGGGGGUACGAUCGCGGCGACGCAAGCCCAGCCUCCGACGCUUCGGGAUAGGCCGAGCGGGGCCACCGCCCCGUCUAACCCCUGAAGCCUGGGGAGUGCCGUAAAGGCGAGAACCAGGCGAAGGGGGGAAUGGCCGCCCGUAUGGGUGGUUCGGCCGAUUCCCGGAGCCCAUGAAAAGGGGGCUGGGAAGGAUCCCCCACGACCGUACCGAGAACCGACACUGGUGCCCCUGGGUGAGUAGCCUAAGGCGUGUCGGGAUCACCCCGGGCCAGGGAACUCGGCAAGUUAGCCCCGUAACUUCGGGAGAAGGGGUGCCUGGGGCUCUGGGCGAAAGCCUGGGGCCCUAGGUCGCAGUGACAAGGGGGACCCGACUGUUUAAUAAAAACAUAGGUCCCCGCAAGCCCGAAAGGGUGUGUACGGGGGCUGAAUCCUGGCCACUGGCGGUCCGUGAAACCCGGGUUCAACCGGGCGAAGCGCCGCCGAAGGCCGGGAGUAACUCUGACUCUCUUAAGGUAGCCAAAUGCCUUGCCGGGUAAGUUCCGGCGCGCAUGAAUGGAUCAACGAGGUCCCCACUGUCCCGGCCCGGGGCCCGGCGAACCCACCUCCUGGUGCACAGUCCAGGGACCCCCGGUGGGGCGAGAAGACCCCGUGGAGCUUUACUGCAGCCUGUCGCUGGGGUACGGUUGCUGGUGCGUAGCGUAGCUGGGAGCCAGUGAAGCACCCUCUCUGGGGGGUGUAGAGGCGCCAAUGAAACACCAGCCACUGGCGACCGUACCUCUAACCGGGGCUUACGCCCCGGGACAACGGCAGGUGGGCAGUUCGGCUGGGGCGGCACGCCCUCGAAAGGAUAUCGAGGGCGCCCAAAGGUCGGCUCAGGCGGGUCAGAACCCCGCCGUAGAGGGCAAGGCCAAAAGCCGGCCUGACCAGACCCUUGAAAGCAAGGGGUCUGGCCGGGAAACCGCGGCCUAGCGAACGCUCGUGCCCCCUUCGGUGGGGGCCGGGCAUGACAGAAAAGUUACCCCGGGAGUAACCGGCUCGUCGCGGGCGAGAGCCCACAUCGACCCCGCGGAUUGGUACCCAGACGUCGUCUCUUCCCAUCCUGGGGGUGCAGCAAGGGGUGGAAGCAAGUUGAGUGUUGACAGGUUGAUCAUCAUUGCACCUUCUCAGAUCCUUAGAAACCUCAUUGCAUGAUCUGAGAUACCUGUACGCUAAACAUUGAAACGUUAAAGGCUUGAAUGUAAAGCCUACUAGUAAAGUCUCCUAACUUGAUCCUACUUAUCCAGGUGUAUAAUGGCUAUGUUCACUUCAUCGAUGGUUGAGCUUCCGCCCCCUGUAGGCCCCCAAGGGUGGGGCUGCCCGCCCAUUAAAGGGGAACGUGAGAUGGGUUUAGACCGUCGUGAGACAGGUCGGUCUCUACCUGCCGGGGGUGCUGGCCGCCUGAGGGGAAGGUGCCCUCAGUACGAGAGGAACGGGGCGCCGUGGCCUCUAGUUUACCGGUUGUCCGGUAGGGCAUCGCCGGGCAGCCACGCCAUAAGGGAUAAGGGCUGAAAGCAUCUAAGCCCGAAGCCCUCCCCGAGACGAGGCGGCCAUUCCCGCGUGGAGUCUAUAGCGGGCAACCGCUAUAGACCUGCGGGACGAGGGCUCCCGUAGAAGACGGGGUUGAUGGGGCGGGGGUGUAAGCACCGAGGCCGAAAGGCCGAGGUGUUAAGCCUGCCGCUCCCAAUCGCCCGAGGUCGUACUUGA
rnacentral:rRNA from 1 species